rnacentral:rRNA from 2 species
UUGACCUCGGAUCAGGUAGGAAUACCCGCUGAACUUAAGCAUAUCAAUAAGCGGAGGAAGG